UGAAUACUCAAGAAGGGUAGAAGAGAAAAAAAAGGUCGCAGAGAAAGUCAAUGGCCCAAUGAGCAUAAAGGAUGCCAGCAGACAGCUAAUGAUAAUCCAUUGCGAGAAAAAUAAAGAGAGAAAAUAGGGAAAUGUCUUGAUGAGAGGGACAUAAAGUUGAGGAAUAUCUCUUGUAAAAUAGGAAGUUCGAUUGUACUUACCUACAGGGAGAUUUAUUUUGAUUUUAACCACUCUUUGAAAAGUCAUAGUGUUU
rnacentral:lncRNA from 1 species